GGAAGUCCGGUGUAAGUCCGGCGCGGCCCCGCCACUGUAUGAGACUCGGAACUCGGUUCCGUGGGAUCGGCUCACGACGCCACUGGACGACAACGUCUGGGAAGGCGAGCCGCUCCGUCUCGAGCCAGGAGAC
rnacentral:ncRNA from 2 species